rnacentral:rRNA from 1 species
GACGUAGGGGGCGAGCGUUGUCCGGAAUUAUUGGGCGUAAAGCGCGCGUAGGCGGCCCGGUAAGUCCGCUGUGAAAGUCAAAGGCUCAACCUUUGAAUGCCGGUGGAUACUGUCGGGCUAGAGUCCGGAAGAGGCGAGUGGAAUUCCUGGUGUAGCGGUGAAAUGCGCAGAUAUCAGGAGGAACACCCGUGGCGAAAGCGGCUCUCUGGGACGGUACUGACGCUGAGACGCGAAAGCGUGGGGAGCAAACAGG